GAGUUUGAUCCUGGCUCAGAUUGAACGCUGGCGGCAGGCUUAACACAUGCAAGUCGAACGGUAACAUGAGUGCUUGCACUUGAUGACGAGUGGCGGACGGGUGAGUAAUGUAUGGGGAUCUGCCGAAUGGAGGGGGACAACAGUUGGAAACGACUGCUAAUACCGCAUAAAGUUGAGAGACCAAAGCAUGGGACCUUCGGGCCAUGCGCCAUUUGAUGAACCCAUAUGGGAUUAGCUAGUUGGUAGGGUAAUGGCUUACCAAGGCGACGAUCUCUAGCUGGUCUGAGAGGAUGACCAGCCACACUGGAACUGAGACACGGUCCAGACUCCUACGGGAGGCAGCAGUGGGGAAUAUUGCACAAUGGGGGGAACCCUGAUGCAGCCAUGCCGCGUGUAUGAAGAAGGCCUUCGGGUUGUAAAGUACUUUCGGUGAUGAGGAAGGUGGUGUAUCUAAUAGGUGCAUCAAUUGACGUUAAUUACAGAAGAAGCACCGGCUAACUCCGUGCCAGCAGCCGCGGUAAUACGGAGGGUGCGAGCGUUAAUCGGAAUGACUGGGCGUAAAGGGCAUGUAGGCGGAUAAUUAAGUUAGGUGUGAAAGCCCUGGGCUCAACCUAGGAAUUGCACUUAAAACUGGUUAACUAGAGUAUUGUAGAGGAAGGUAGAAUUCCACGUGUAGCGGUGAAAUGCGUAGAGAUGUGGAGGAAUACCGGUGGCGAAGGCGGCCUUCUGGACAGAUACUGACGCUGAGAUGCGAAAGCGUGGGGAGCAAACAGGAUUAGAUACCCUGGUAGUCCACGCUGUAAACGAUGUCGAUUUGGAGUUUGUUGCCUAGAGUGAUGGGCUCCGAAGCUAACGCGAUAAAUCGACCGCCUGGGGAGUACGGCCGCAAGGUUAAAACUCAAAUGAAUUGACGGGGGCCCGCACAAGCGGUGGAGCAUGUGGUUUAAUUCGAUGCAACGCGAAGAACCUUACCUGGUCUUGACAUCCACAGAAUCUUGCAGAGAUGCGGGAGUGCCUUCGGGAACUGUGAGACAGGUGCUGCAUGGCUGUCGUCAGCUCGUGUUGUGAAAUGUUGGGUUAAGUCCCGCAACGAGCGCAACCCUUAUCCUUUGUUGGCAUCGGUUAGGCCGGGAACUCAAAGGAGACUGCCGUUGAUAAAGCGGAGGAAGGUGGGGACGACGUCAAGUCAUCAUGGCCCUUACGACCAGGGCUACACACGUGCUACAAUGGCGUAUACAAAGGGAGGCGA
rnacentral:rRNA from 1 species